rnacentral:rRNA from 1 species
UACGGGGGGGGCAAGCGUUGUUCGGAAUUACUGGGCGUAAAGGGCGCGUAGGCGGCCUUCUAAGUCGGACGUGAAAUCCCUCGGCUUAACCGAGGAACUGCGUCCGAUACUGAAAGGCUUGAAUCCGGGAGAGGGAUGCGGAAUUCCAGGUGUAGCGGUGAAAUGCGCAGAUAUCAGGAGGAACACCGGUGGCGAAGGCGGGUCUCUGGGCCGUUACUGACGCUGAGGAGCGAAAGCGUGGGGAGCGAACAGG